rnacentral:rRNA from 1 species
GAUGAACGCUAGCGACGUGCUUUAGGCAUGCAAGUCGAACGGCAGCACGGACUUCGGUCUGGUGGCGAGUGGCGAACGGGUGAGUAAUACAUCAGAACGUGCCCAAUCGUGGGGGAUAACGUAGCGAAAGCUACGCUAAUACCGCAUACGAUCUAAGGAUGAAAGCGGGGGAUCGCAAGACCUCGCGCGAAUGGAGCGGCGGAUGGCAGAUUAGGUAGUUGGUAGGGUAAAGGCCUACCAAGCCGACGGUCUGUAGCUGGUCUGAGAGGAUGACCAGCCACACUGGGACUGAGACACGGCCCAGACUCAUACGGGAGGCAGCAGUGGGGAAUUUUGGACAAUGGACGCAAGUCUGAUCCAGCCAUUCCGCGUGCAGGAUGAAGGCCCUCGGGUUGUAAACUGCUUUUGUACAGAACGGAAAGGCUCUGGUUAAUACCUGGGGCUCAUGACGGUACUGUAAGAAUAAGCACCGGCUAACUACGUGCCAGCAGCCGCGGUAA